AACUAAUUGCAGGUGAAUCUCAAAAGAUGACGCUUUCAGAAGUUAGCAUGCUUAUCCACAGCUGAAGAGUUCAAUGAACCACUUGCAUGCUGGAAGCAGAGGGGGGCAUCUUAGGAGAAAUGAGAAGAGUAAGGGAUUUUCCUCAACAGGAAGAGAAGUUCAGGCUACAAAUGUUCAUCCUCUCAGCCAGCGAAAAGACUGGACCAGUUUUCUUGAGAAGGACAGUUAUUACCAUCUAAGGCAAUGUCUACACUUACCAGGGAUCUACGCUGCUGCGAUCGAUGCACUGAAGACCCGCUAAAUCAACAGCAGAGUGCUCACCAGUUGAUUUGAGUACUCCACCAGAACGAGAUGAGUAAGGGCUGGAAUAAGCAGCAAACUUUACCAAAAGAGAGAGACGGGAGGCUGGAGGAAGAAAAAGAAAUCCCUUCCUUGUCCUACCUCUAUAAUGUGAGUUUUAUCAACCUCAGAUUGAUUAGUGAGCUUACUUAUUGUUUCGAGCAGCUGUGAGAUGAAGAAAAUGGUCAUAUCAAUGCCUAAUGUACUGAAUAAUGCCCUUCUACAGACAGUGCAUUUGCUUUGUUCCUAUAAUGACAGAUGCAUUGAAUUAAUUUCUCUUAGCAAGAAAUGUUCACUGAAGAUAAGGCCUGAAACAAAUGCUGGCACACAACUGUGAAAUGCCCUGAAACUGUUUCUUGGUGACAAAUUACUACUGAGGAAUAUAGACCCUUCCACACAAGUGACACGUAUUGAAUUUAUUAGACAGGUUAUAGAGCGAGAACUGCAUCUUUUUUGUCCUGUUUGCAGAGCUGACAUUUAUCAGCUUCUAAUAAUGAAAUGGAUAUGGACUGAUGAAAACAAAACUAACAGCCAUGGACCAUAUAGAUACAGAUGCAUUGUGUAUGCACUGUAGUAUUUGUGUAUGAAUUUGAGAUUUAGAUCAUUCACCUUUUUAUAGGGAAUUGGGUUUGAAUUGCAAGCGAACUUGUGAAUCCCUAGUAAAGAUGCCUAUUAAA